rnacentral:rRNA from 1 species
AACGAACGCUGGCGGCAUGCCUAACACAUGCAAGUCGAACGGGAUCCUAGCUUGCUAGGUGAGAGUGGCGGACGGGUGAGUAACACGUGGGAAUCUGCCUUUUUGGUUCGGGAUAACCGCGGGAAACUGCGGCUAAUACCGAAUGCCCUCGAGAGAGGAAAGAUUUAUCGCCAGAAGAGGAGCCCGCGUCCGAUUAGGUAGUUGGUGGGGUAAAGGCCUACCAAGCCGACGAUCGGUAGCUGGUCUGAGAGGAUGAUCAGCCACACUGGGACUGAGAUACGGCCCAGACUCCUACGGGAGCAGCAGUGGGGAAUAUUGGACAAUGGGGGCACCCUGAUCCAGCAAUGCCGCGUGAGUGAU